UAUGAGACGGACGGCCGAAUCGCAACAACAAAGCGGACGGACAAAAGACCGGUUUUCCUGUUCUAUCGUAGUAGAGGCGAUUCCUCUGACUACGCAGAGUCAUUGGCAUCGUUGCGUGCCGGCAAUGACUUGCCCAACUCGCAGAAAUCCCGACAAGUGACUGAUGACCACAGCCCCUGACAACCGUGCGUGUAAUCAUGGUAAACGGUCUAUUUUAGCGGUGUACAAAGGUGAAAAGUCCAACCCUUCUUUCGCAAAUGUCCAUAUAGCCGUCUAAUACCUACACCUGGCCACAAAGACCCCUGACACCAAAUACGAUAUGAAUGGACCGUUUCAAGGCCACUACGGUAUGGAAAGCUAGCUGUAGAAUUUGGCCUUCGCAGCAGCCAACGCUCGAAGUCAGCGAGUCAUGGAAUCGAAGCAGCUUUCGGUUAAAAAACUAACGCAGGCCAACACGACUGAAUCGAACGACGUUAGUGGCGGAAACUGCUAGAGGCCGUUUCUGCUUUCCCUGCGCUACGGCGAUCAUAAAUGAAGACGCUUCUAACACCAUCAGCAUCAUCAUACGCAUCACAUGUAACCGUACGACUGCCUACAUUUCACUACAUACACGUAUAAGGCCAUAGGACUGCCUGGCCCACGAAAGCCAACAUUGCUGUUCUAACAUGGCCCACGUUGACGUCGCCAUCAUCACGACAAUCAUCAGCGCCGCCGGUGUCGGCGGUCUACCUAAGGCAGCAAUACGGCAACGUAAGAAACGCAUUAAGGACAACCGAUAAGACGAGAAGGAUCAGUAAAGAUACCAUAGGUAGUUGCGAGACGUACUCAGCCAUGCCGAACAAACAACGAUGAGAA